rnacentral:rRNA from 1 species
AUACGGAGGGUGCAAGCGUUAAUCGGAAUUACUGGGCGUAAAGCGCGCGUAGGUGGUCAAGUCAGUCAACUGUGAAAGCCCAGGGCUCAACCUUGGAAUUGCAGCUGAUACUGCUCGACUCGAGUAUGGUAGAGGGGUGUGGAAUUUCCUGUGUAGCGGUGAAAUGCGUAGAUAUAGGAAGGAACACCAGUGGCGAAGGCGACACCCUGGACCAAUACUGACACUGAGGUGCGAAAGCGUGGGGAGCAAACAGGAUUAGAUACCCCAGUAGUCC